rnacentral:rRNA from 1 species
AAUGAACGCUAGCGGGAUGCUUUACACAUGCAAGUCGAACGAGUGGCGGACGGGUGAGUAAUAUCUAGGAACGUUCUAAGUAGCGGGGGAAAACUAGUGGAAAGAGUGGUUAAUACCGCAUACUAUUGGAGCGGACGAUGACGCAUUAGCUAGUUGGUUGGGUAAAGGCUCACCAAGGCAACGAUCCGUAGCUGGUUUGAGAGGACGAACAGCCACAUUGGGACUUAGACACGGCCCAGACGCCUGCGGGAGGCAGCAGUGGGGAAUUUUGGGCUAGGGGGGAAACCCUGAUCCAGCCAUCCCGCGUGUAUGAGAAGGCCUUCGGUUCGUAAAAUACUUUUGGUAGGGAAGCGGUAUCUGAAGAAUAAGCCCCGGCUAACUACGUGCCAGCCGCUGCGGUAAUAC